rnacentral:rRNA from 1 species
AGAAUGAACGCUGGCGGCAUGCCUAACACAUGCAAGUCGAACGAAGCCUUCGGGCUUAGUGGCGCACGGGUGCGUAACGCGUGGGAAUCUACCCUUGGGUUCGGAAUAACAGUUAGAAAUGACUGCUAAUACCGAAUGAUGUCGUAAGACCAAAGAUUUAUCGCCCAGGGAUGAGCCCGCGUAGGAUUAGCUAGUUGGUGUGGUAAAGGCGCACCAAGGCGACGAUCCUUAGCUGGUCUGAGAGGAUGAUCAGCCACACUGGGACUGAGACACGGCCCAGACUCCUACGGGAGGCAGCAGUGGGGAAUAUUGGACAAUGGGCGAAAGCCUGAUCCAGCAAUGCCGCGUGAGUGAUGAAGGCCUUAGGGUUGUAAAGCUCUUUCGCACGCGACGAUAAUGACGGUAGCGUGAGAAGAACGCCCCGGCUAACUUCGUGCCAGCAGCCGC